rnacentral:rRNA from 1 species
UGGAAGUAAAAAAUCGUAACAAGGUCUC